rnacentral:rRNA from 1 species
GACGAACGCUGGCGGCGUGCUUAACACAUGCAAGUCGAACGAAAAGACCCUGCUUUUGUGGGUUUCUCGAUUGGCGAACGGGUGUGUAACACGUGUGUAACCUCCACUUAUCUUUGGGGUAACUUCUGGAAACUGGGGCUAUUACCGGAUAUGAUCUCCUGCUCCAUGUUGGGGGUUGGAAAGUUUCGGCGGUUGGGGAUGGUCUAGAGGCUUAUCAGCUUGUUGGUGUAGUAGUGGCUGACGAAGGCUUUGACGGGUAGGCGGCCUGAGAGGGUUAACGGGCACAAUGGGACUGAGAUACGGACCAGACUGCUACGGGAGGCAAUAGUCGGGAAUAUUGCACAAUGGGCGGAAGUCAGAGACAGAAACGCCGCGAGCGGGAUGACGGGUUACGGGGGGUAAACCGAUGUCGACUGUGACGAAGCGUGAGUGACGGUAAUGGGUAAAGAAGCAACGGCUAACUACGUG